rnacentral:rRNA from 1 species
AGGCGAGGCCGAAAGGCGUAGUUGAUGGGAAACAGGUUAAUAUUCCUGUACCUCUGGUUACUGCGAUGGGGGGACGGAGAAGGGUAGGCGAUCCAGGCGCUGGUUGUCCUGGUUCAAGCGUGUAGGGGGAGAAGGCAGGUAAAUCCGCUUUCUCGUUAACUCUGAGACGUGAUGACGAGAGCGUAUGCUCAUAAAGUCGUUGAUCCCAUGCUUCCAAGAAAAGCCUCUAAGCUUCAGGUAACUUGAGACCGUACCGUAAACCGACUCAGGUGGGUGAGGAGAAAAUCCUAAGGUGAUUGAGAUAACACUGGUUAAGGAACUCGGCAAAAUGACACCGUAACUUCGGGAGAAGGUGUGCCUCCACUAGGUCUAGCGAUUUGCACGUGAAGCCGAAGGAGGUCGCAGAGAAAUGGCGGUAGCGACUGUUUACUAAAAACACAGGACUCUGCUAAGUCGUAAGACGAUGUAUAGGGUCUGACGCCUGCCCGGUGCCGGAAGGUUAAGGGGAUUUGUUAGCCGCAAGGCGAAGCUUUGAACCGAAGCCCCGGUAAACGGCGGCCGUAACUAUAACGGUCCUAAGGUAGCGAAAUUCCUUGUCGGGUAAGUUCCGACCUGCACGAAUGGCGUAACGAUUUCCGCGCUGUCUCAACCAGUGGCUCAGCGAAAUUGAAUUCUCGGUGAAGAUGCCGAGUACCCGCGGUAAGACGGAAAGACCCCGUGAACCUUUACUACAGCUUGACAGUGACAUUCGGAAUAGCUUGUGUAGGAUAGGUGGGAGACUUUGAAGCUGGCACGCCAGUGUCGGUGGAGUCGUCCUUGAAAUACCACCCUGGUUGUUUUGGAUGUCUAACCUAGGCCCGUCAUCCGGGUCGGGGACACUGUCUGGUGGGUAGUUUGACUGGGGCGGUCGCCUCCCAAAGAGUAACGGAGGCGCGCGAAGGUUCCCUCAGGCUGAUUGGAAACCAGCCGUAGAGUGUAAAGGCAUAAGGGAGCUUGACUGCGAGACCCACAAGUCGAGCAGGUACGAAAGUAGGUCUUAGUGAUCCGGCGGUUCUGUAUGGAAGGGCCGUCGCUCAACGGAUAAAAGGUACUCCGGGGAUAACAGGCUUAUCUCCCCCAAGAGUUCACAUCGACGGGGAGGUUUGGCACCUCGAUGUCGGCUCAUCGCAUCCUGGGGCUGAAGUAGGUCCCAAGGGUUUGGCUGUUCGCCAAUUAAAGCGGUACGCGAGCUGGGUUUAAAACGUCGUGAGACAGUUUGGUCCCUAUCUGCCGUGGGCGCAGGAUACUUGAGAAGAGCUGUCCUUAGUACGAGAGGACCGGGAUGGACGUACCUCUAGUGUUCCAGUUGUUCCGCCAGGAGCAUUCGCUGGGUAGCUAUGUACGGAAAGGAUAACCGCUGAAAGCAUCUAAGCGGGAAGCCCCCUUCAAGAUAAGGUAUCCCCGGGACGCAAGUCCCCUGAAGGCCCGUUGUAGACCACAACGUUGAUAGGCCGGGUGUGUAAGUGCAGCAAUGCAUUCAGCUUACCGGUACUAAUCGGCCGUGAGGCUUGACCAU